rnacentral:rRNA from 1 species
AUUGCCUCAGUACGGCGAGUGAAGCGGCAAAAGCUCAAAUUUGAAAUCCUUCGGGAGUUGUAAUUUGUAGGUUGGGAGACCCCGCGGCUAGUGGCACCAAGUCCCUUGGAACAGGGCGCCUUAGAGGGUGAGAGCCCCGUAGGUACCACAACACCGUCUUGUGUCUCCUCUCCAAAGAGUCGAGUUGUUUGGGAAUGCAGCUCAAAGUGGGUGGUAAAUUCCAUCUAAAGCUAAAUACCGGCGAGAGACCGAUAGCGAACAAGUACAGUGAUGGAAAGAUGAAAAGCACUUUGAAAAGAGAGUGAAACAGUACGUGAAAUUGUUGAAAGGGAAGGGCUUGCAAGCAGACACGGCCUUCGUGCCGGGCCAGCAUCGGUUGCUAGGGGUGGAUAAGGAACAAGGAAUGUAGCUCCUCGGAGUAUUAUAGCCUUGCGCGAUACACCCACUGGCGACCGAGGCCUGCGGUAUUCUUUACCUAGGAUGCUGGCGUAAUGGUUGCAAGCCGC